GCGCCUGUAGCUCAGAUGGAUAGAGUAGGUGGCUUCGAACCACUUGGUCGCAAGUUCGAAUCUUGCCAGGCGCGCCA
rnacentral:tRNA from 1 species